GUUAUAGUAAGCUUGGUUGGUAAAGUGCUUGCCUUGCAUGCAAAGGCCCUGAGUUCAAUCCCCAGCAUCACA
rnacentral:tRNA from 1 species